UACGGAGGGUGCAAGCGUUAUCCGGAUUUACUGGGCUUAAAGGGUGUGUAGGCGGGCUAUUAAGUCAGUGGUGAAAUCUCCGGGCUCAACCCGGAAACUGCCAUUGAUACUAUUAGUCUUGAAUUUUGUUGAGGUAGGCGGAAUAAGUCAUGUAGCGGUGAAAUGCAUAGAUAUGACUUAGAACACCAAUUGCGAAGGCAGCUUACUAAGCAAAUAUUGACGCUGAGGCACGAAAGCGUGGGGAUCAAACAGG
rnacentral:rRNA from 1 species